rnacentral:rRNA from 1 species
UACGAAGGGGGCUAGCGUUGUUCGGAAUUACUGGGCGUAAAGCGCACGUAGGCGGACAUUUAAGUCAGGGGGUGAAAUCCUGGAGCUCAACUCCAGAACUGCCUUUGAUACUGAAGAUCUUGAGUUCGGGAGAGGUGAGUGGAACUGCGAGUGUAGAGGUGAAAUGCGCAGAUAUCGGGAGGAACACCAAUGGCGAAGGCAGCUCGCUGGGACGGUACUGACGCUGAGACGCG